UAUCUGUUCUUUUUGUAAAAGAGACUAUCUGUUCUUAUUAGAACAGUUCUGGCGGUCCAUUGGGGACAAGGGCCGUGGAUUGCGGAGCGGAUUCAGUGA